rnacentral:rRNA from 1 species
UACGUAGGGUGCAAGCGUUAAUCGGAAUUACUGGGCGUAAAGCGUGCGCAGGCGGUUAUGUAAGUCAGGUGUGAAAGCCCCGGGCUCAACCUGGGAAUUGCGGUGGAGACUGCAAGGCUUGAAUCUGGCAGAGGGGGGUAGAAUUCCACGUGUAGCAGUGAAAUGCGUAGAGAUGUGGAGGAACACCGAUGGCGAAGGCAGCCCCCUGGGUCAAGAUUGACGCUCAUGCACGAAAGCGUGGGGAGCAAACAGG